rnacentral:misc_RNA from 1 species
AAGUCGUAACAAGGUUUCCGUAGGUGAACCUGCGGAAGGAUCAUUAAAGAUUCGACCUUCGGGUCUAUCUUAUCUUCAGCUGUGCGCUUUUGCUGCACGCUGUUGAACUUCACACACCUGUGCACACUUCGGUUGCGGUUAGUUAACUCUAGCUGCUUCCGCUUUUACAUUUAACUACUAAGUCUUGAAUGUCAAAUACAAUAAAAUAACAACUUUCAACAACGGAUCUCUUGGCUCUC